rnacentral:rRNA from 1 species
GAUGAACGCUGGCGGCGUGCUUAACACAUGCAAGUCGAACGAAGCACUUUACCUGAUUUCCUCCGGGAAUGAUUGUUCUGUGACUGAGUGGCGGACGGGUGAGUAACGCGUGGAUAACCUGCCUCACACAGGGGGAUAACAGUUGGAAACGACUGCUAAUACCGCAUAAGCGCACAGUACCGCAUGGUACGGUGUGAAAAACUCCGGUGGUGUGAGGUGGAUCCGCGUCUGAUUAGCUUGUUGGCGGGGUAACGGCCCACCAAGGCGACGAUCAGUAGCCGGCCUGAGAGGGCGACCGGCCACAUUGGGACUGAGACACGGCCCAGACUCCUACGGGAGGCAGCAGUGGGGAAUAUUGCACAAUGGGGGAAACCCUGAUGCAGCGACGCCGCGUGAGCGAUGAAGUAUUUCGGUAUGUAAAGCUCUAUCAGCAGGGAAGAUAAUGACGGUACCUGACUAAGAAGCUCCGGCUAAAUACGUGCCAGCCGCCGCCGUAAAAC